UUUCCGUAGGUGAACCUGCGGAAGGAUCAUUAAUGAGUUGUCAUGGGGUUCGAUGCUGGCAGCCAAUUUUUGGAUGCGUGUGCUUGCCCUAACAAUCAUCUUCCAAACACCUGUGCACAUUUUUGAGGGAGUCUUGAGUUGGUUGCCGCUCUUGGGUGAUUUUCUCACAUUCCCUUAAAUCAUUAUACGCUAUUAACAAUGUUGAACGUGCUCUGUGCCGCAAGGCUAUUAAUAUAAUACAACUUUUAACAACGGAUCUCUUGGCUCUC
rnacentral:misc_RNA from 1 species